GAUGAACGCUGGCGGCGUGCCUAAUACAUGCCAGUCGAGCGAACGGACGAGAAGCUUGCUUCUCUGAUGUUAGCGGCGGACGGGUGAGUAACACGUGGAUAACCUACCUAUAAGACUGGGAUAACUUCGGGAAACCGGAGCUAAUACCGGAUAAUAUUUUGAACCGCAUGGUUCAAAAGUGAAAGACGGUCUUGCUGUCACUUAUAGAUGGAUCCGCGCUGCAUUAGCUAGUUGGUAAGGUAACGGCUUACCAAGGCAACGAUGCAUAGCCGACCUGAGAGGGUGAUCGGCCACACUGGAACUGAGACACGGUCCAGACUCCUACGGGAGGCAGCAGUAGGGAAUCUUCCGCAAUGGGCGAAAGCCUGACGGAGCAACGCCGCGUGAAUGAUGAAGGUCUUCGGAUCGUAAAACUCUGUUAUUAGGGAAGAACAUAUGUGUAAGUAACUGUGCACAUCUUGACGGUACCUAAUCAGAAAGCCACGGCUAACUACGUG
rnacentral:rRNA from 1 species